AGAAAGAAAAAAACAGCGGGGCAAGAGAAGGACAUCCGUUAACCUCUGGUUACAUCGCUGUUGGACUGCAGCCAGCGGGGGUCUGGGGGGCUCGGAGGGCCGGCCCACUGCAGCCCCUUCGGCUCCACCCACCUCAAGUGACAGAUGCCCCCCUCCCACCCCCCAGAGCCUGUGCGGCCUUGGGGGCCUCGUUCUGUGAUGAAAUUCUAGGUCCAAGCCAGCCUUGUGGCCUCUGGUAACCAAGUUUGACCCUGGCUAUUUCCAGAUCAUUUGGCAAAAGAGAAGUGUGCUUUUAGAGAGAGGGAAGGCAUGUGCGGUGAGACAGAAGGGUGAGUCCCCGGCAAGGAUGGGCAGAUGGGGACCGCGUUGCUCUCUCAGCUCUUCUGCUCACUUCAAGCAUUUUCAGAAGGAAAGUUAGAUCACGAGGGAAAAUAAUAAACAUUUGCUGAACUAAAAACAUGGGAAGGGGGACCCUCAGCGUUGCCGCCAUUCCAGCCAACCCUUCUUUCUGGUCACUGGUUCCCUCCUUGGAUAACCCUGCGCACAGAGACCCCUCUCCCGGCCAGCAGCCUCGUCCCCUGACCUCAGCACCUCUGAUGACCCUCAGCGUGCCCUGCCCCAAGGCCUGCCCCAGGCCACGGCCUCCUGUCCUUCUGGUCCCCCAUCCCUUGUAACACCACCUCAGAUCCCCUGUGCUCCACCCUGCCUUCCCUUCUCAGAUCCCUACAGUCACAGGGAUCCAGACCCCGGCCCGGCCUGCAUAUCCACUGGCUCAUCCCCCACUGCAAGGCUCCUUGCCCAGGACUUGGACCUCUCCUAGGUUCCAAGUGCUAAAACCGCAGGCUCUCACACAGCCCUCUCAGCCUGGCCUCAGAGACACUCCUCUCCCGUACGUUCUCUGUCUGGGUCCCCCUCAUUGACCAUCCUUCCAUCUGCCCUUUCUCAACAUUCCAGCUCCUUCCCUGGCUGCUCUUGGGCCGCGCUCUCCCCUCCCUGCACCCUCUCCGGGGGAGAGCUCAUCUAUCUGCAGGCUUUGACCACUGCGUGCUCCUUGGCACGUCCCUCUCCUGUGGUUCCUGCUAGGAUGUUGGCGUGGAGGUCCCCCUGGACCUCCCAUCCCACUGUCAACCAGCAACCUGGGACCCCUGCCCCUAUUUCCUCACCCCGCAGGGAAUCAAGCCCAAGCUCUGCUGCUCAGGCAGGCCUCUACGGCCAGCCCCACGUCCAGGUCCUUCACAGCAGUCUGCCUCCCCAGGUUCUCCCCCUCCAAUCUGCCUUCCACACCACAGCCAGGAUGACACUUCUAGAGCACAGUUCUGACCCCACUGCUCCCCUGCUGAAAACCCUUCAUGCCUCCCUGGCGCCCUCAAGAUGAAGCCCAAACCCCUUAGCCUGGCGUGCAGGCACCCUCUGUGACUCACCCUCCAGACUCAGCUCUGGGCUCUCAACACGCCCAGCUCCAAUGCUACAGGACACAGUGCCGCCGAGUUGCUUCGGCACCUGCCACUGUCACCGAAAGGAGUGCCCUUCCAGCCCCUCUGCCUGCCUAAGGCCCCCAGGGCUUCUCAUCCCUCUCAGGGGAGGCUUCUCUGCCCUCCAGGCCCCAGCACCCUGGAGUUCUGAUUCCUUGCAGAUCUGCUCACACCUGGUUGCAGCAGCCUGGCUUUCUCUCUCCCUCUCAGGAGUGCUGACAGGAAGCCAGGGUGCAGGAAGAGAGAGGAAAACCCCAGGUGGACCCACAGCUGACUCCAGUGUCAGGCACCAGACACAGGAAUGAAUGAGUCUCCAGAAUUCUGUGGUCAGCAAACUUUCCCAUAAAAGGCCAGAAAGUAAAUAUUUUUGGUUUUGAAGACAUAUGGUAUGUGUCAUAUCUACUAAACUCUGUUCUAGAGUGUGAAAACAGCCACAGACAGUACAUGUAUGAAAGGGCAUGGCUGUGUUCCAAUAAAACUUUAUUUUCAGGAACAGGUGGUGGGCCACAUUUUGGCCCCAGGCCACAGUUUGCUGACCUCUGAUUUAAAUGAUUCUGGCCUUUGAGUCUUCCUGCUGAGGGCCCAGAUAUUCCGGAAUAGAGACAAGCUGCUCCUGCUAUGCUCCCAUCUGAAUUUCUGACUCAUAAAAGCUGUGAGACUAGUACAUCAUUGCUGUUGUUUCCAGCCAUGAAAUGGUGGGGUCAUUCAGCAUGCAGCGCUAAGCAGUUUGUGCACACACAAACCCUGUGUGUGUUAGAGCUCACUCAUUCAUUCAGCUGUGUGUUUCACAGGCGCUCAACAAGACCCACCAUGCGCCCAACCCAAGAGAUGGCGGAGGAGGAAGACAGUUCCUGGCUUCACAGAGCUCAGACUGUCACUGAGGCAACCCCAGCCCAGGGUCCCGAAAGACAGGCAAGGACAGAAGAAAGGAACCGUCACUGUUUCCGCCACACACACUCAGGCCCUCUCGUGACACAGGGGGACACUGCGGACUGAUCUAUGGCACCCACGUGGCAUUCACAGGGAGGGGGUCACCUCUCCCGGCGUACACCAGGACCCAGACGGCAGUGGAGGGGGCUUGAGUGGGUGUGGGAGUCGCUCCUCAGGUUCCCCACCCAUGGGUCUUCCGGCCCUGAACCAGGCUGGGAGGAGGACAGAGAGGAACGGGCACGCUAAGAAAAGGAGGAGGCUGCAGCUACGCAAGAGACAGGACUGAGGUGU